rnacentral:rRNA from 1 species
CGUAAAGAACCUGCCUCAUAGACUGGGACAACUAUUGGAAACGGAUAGCUAAUACCGGAUAACAGUAUUUCUCGCAUGAGAGAUAUUUAAAAGUUGGUUAUGCUAACACUAUGAGAUGGCUUUGCGGUGCAUUAGCUAGUUGGUGGGGUAAAGGCCCACCAAGGCGACGAUGCAUAGCCGACCUGAGAGGGUGAUCGGCCACACUGGGACUGAGACACGGCCCAG